rnacentral:rRNA from 1 species
AAUGAACGCUGGCGGCAUGCCUAACACAUGCAAGUCGAACGAAGGCUUAGGCCUUAGUGGCGCACGGGUGCGUAACGCGUGGGAAUCUGCCCUUGGGUUCGGAAUAACAGUUAGAAAUGACUGCUAAUACCGGAUGAUGUCGUAAGACCAAAGAUUUAUCGCCCAAGGAUGAGCCCGCGUAGGAUUAGCUAGUUGGUGGGGUAAAGGCCUACCAAGGCGACGAUCCUUAGCUGGUCUGAGAGGAUGAUCAGCCACACUGGGACUGAGACACGGCCCAGACUCCUACGGGAGGCAGCAGUGGGGAAUAUUGGACAAUGGGCGAAAGCCUGAUCCAGCAAUGCCGCGUGAGUGAUGAAGGCCUUAGGGUUGUAAAGCUCUUUUACCCGGGAUGAUAAUGACAGUACCGGGAGAAUAAGCUCCGGCUAACUUCGUG